CAGAGCGUAAAAAACUCUCCAAACCCUUUGCCAAACAUACCUGUGUUCGUUGCUUCGGCGGGCAGCCCCGGGGGGGCUCCAGGCCGUUUGGUGCCCGCCGCAAGCCAAAACCAAACUCUUGUACCGCGCCGCGAGGUGCUGGAAACGUAUUCUGAGUGGCCUAUCUAAAUGAAUCA
rnacentral:misc_RNA from 1 species